rnacentral:rRNA from 1 species
AGCGAACGCUGGCGGCAGGCCUAACACAUGCAAGUCGAACGGCAGCACGGACUUCGGUCUGGUGGCGAGUGGCGAACGGGUGAGUAAAGUAUCGGAACGUGCCUAGUAGCGGGGGAUAACUACUCGAAAGAGUAGCUAAUACCGCAUACGCCCUACGGGGGAAAGGGGGGGAUCGCAAGACCUCUCACUAUUAGAGCGGCCGAUAUCGGAUUAGCUAGUUGGUGAGGUAAAGGCUCACCAAGGCGACGAUCCGUAGCUGGUUUGAGAGGACGACCAGCCACACUGGGACUGAGACACGGCCCAGACUCCUAUGGGAGGCAGCAGUGGGGAAUUUUGGACAAUGGGGGCAACCCUGAUCCAGCCAUUCCGCGUGUGCGAUGAAGGCCUUCGGGUUGUAAAGCACUUUUGGCAGGAAAGAAAUCGCACGGGAUAACACCCCGUGUGGAUGACGGUACCUGCAGAAUAAGCACCGGCUAACUACGUGCCAGCAGCCGCGGUAAGAC